rnacentral:rRNA from 1 species
CAAUAAGCAAAAUAAGGGCGUAUGGGGGAUGCCUAGGCUCUCAGAGGCGAUGAAGGACGUGAUAAGCUGCGAAAAGCUGCGGGGACGGGCACACACCGAUCGAUCCGCAGGUAUCCGAAUGGGGCAACCCAGUGUGCUGAAGGCACAUUACCCGAUAGGGGGCGAACCCGCUGAACUGAAACAUCUAAGUAGGCGGAGGAGAAGAAAACAAAAGUGAUUCCGUGAGUAGUGGCGAGCGAAAGCGGAUUAGCCCAAACCGGAGAUGUUACGGCAUUUCCGGGGUUGUAGGAC